CCCUAUUCACUGCCAAACAGGUGUGGUUAUGUUCCUGGCAGCAAAUAAGAAACCGAGGGAGUCACCUGUAAUGCUGACAAGGAAAAAAAAAUCUCCACCUGCAACCACAUUGUUAAGGAUUAAUCUUCUCUUCAAGUUUCCAAUAUGCUGUUAAAAAUUCCAGAAUUGGAAGAGAUGCCAAGCAGUUACCCAGAUGAAGUCAAAAUCUUACUACCGUGAUUUCCAUAUCAUAUAAUUCAUUAGUUUAUUAUACUUAAAUCUGCUACAUGUAUAUCAACAUCAUCUCUGAACCAUU